rnacentral:rRNA from 1 species
AGUGAACGCUGGCGGUAGGCCUAACACAUGCAAGUCGAGCGGCAGCACAGUAAGAGCUUGCUCUUACGGGUGGCGAGUGGCGGACGGGUGAGGAAUACAUCGGAAUCUACUUUUUCGUGGGGGAUAACGUAGGGAAACUUACGCUAAUACCGCAUACGACCUACGGGUGAAAGCAGGGGAUCUUCGUACCUUUCGCGAUUGAAUGAGCCGAUGUCGGAUUAGCUAGUUGGCGGGGUAAAGGCCCACCAAGGCGACGAUCCGUAGCUGGUCUGAGAGGAUGAUCAGCCACACUGGAACUGAGACACGGUCCAGACUCCUACGGGAGGCAGCAGUGGGGAAUAUUGGACAAUGGGCGCAAGCCUGAUCCAGCCAUACCGCGUGGGUGAAGAAGGCCUUCGGGUUGUAAAGCCCUUUUGUUGGGAAAGAAAAGCAGCAGGUUAAUACCCCGCUGUUCUGACGGUACCCAAAGAAUAAGCACCGGCUAACUUCGUG